rnacentral:tRNA from 1 species
AGAAAAGUAAGCUAAACAACCCAAGCUAGUGGGCUCAUACCCCAUGUAUGGAGAAACUCCCUUCUCUU